ACAUGGGUGUACCCGUCUCUGUGGCAAAAGAGUGGGAAGACCUUGUAAUAGUGGUGAAAAGCCAAACGAGCCUGGUGAUAGCUGGUUGCUCAACAAACGAAUUUUAGUUCGACUUUAGGUUAUUUUAACAACUUUUAAGUCUAAAGACAACCUAAAAGCUAUUCAAUGAAGGUACAGCUUCAUUGAUACUGGAUUCAACCUUCACUAGAGAGAAAGAACCCAUGUUUAACCAGUAGACCUUAAAGCAGCCAUCAAUAACAAAAGCGUCACAGCACAAAACAAUAAAUACCACGCACACCAACAAACUCCUAGAAAAACAUUGAGCCAAACUAUAAUUAUAGAUAAACUACUGCUAAAACUAGUAACAAGAAACCUUCUCUCCGCACCCCCGUAACCCAGAAAUAGAAAAUCUGCUGGAACUUAACAGACCACAACAGGAACAGUGUAAACUCACUACCCUUACUGUUAAACCGACACUGGAGUGCCACCAAGACAGAUUAAAAGUUAUUUAAGGAACUCGGCAAGACUUGCCCCAACUGUUUACCAAAAACAUAGCCUUUAGCAACACAAGUAUUAAAGGUCCCGCCUGCCCAGUG
rnacentral:rRNA from 1 species